CAUGCUUCCAACUCUUCUUCUUCUUCCCUUUAUAGUAUGCAUAUAAAGCUACAUCCUUUUGUUCAAAUGUAAAUCCUUCCUAAGUCAUGCGUCCAACAUGUGAUUGAGUUCUCCCUUUAAGUUAUGCGUCCAAAAGGCCUUCCAAGGUCAUCUGUUCAAGAUGACUUCCUAAGGUCAUGGAUCCCAUUUUACUUCCUAUUGUCCAAGACAUUCCCCUAUAAUGACCUAACCAUGAAUCCUAAGAUAUUUCCAAGAGAGGUUUCUUCCUUAAGUUGUGAUCCAAGUACCCCUUCUCGGUUGUAGCACUCAAUGCCAUCUCACCCCUUGAGAUGUUUCAUGCUCACCUCCUUAAAGCUUGCAUCCAAUAUUUCAACAAAUGGAAUUGUGUUAAACUGUUAUAGGCAUAAAUUGCUAUACACAAUCCCUAAGAAGAUAACUUCUCAAGGUUGAUGAGUUGAGCUUUGUUCAAACUUUACUCCAACACAUGCUUCGUAGGCUAUACUUAGUCAAUUUCUAACCCCAAUAUUUUAUGCAUCCAACUUCACAUUUUCAAUCUUUUCCUACUAACACAACCAAUGUUACUCUUCACUCUUUUCACCUCCUAAUCCCAACCCAUACUAUACUUUCUUUAGUAGUACUUAAUCAAAUUUUGUCCUCAACCGCAAGGGCAAUUUUAGGCCCUUUAAUCCUAGAGUUUGCUAUCCAAAUCGAAUCAACGGGGUUGAUUCAAGGUUUUAAGGCUUACAAGUUAUUACCCCCUUUUGAGAAUUUCGUCCUUCAAAUUCAACUAAUGUGGUUUAGAAUUCAAAGUAAAAUUAUUAAUCAUCAAGUUUCCAAUCCUUUUCCAGUAAAAUUAUUAAUCAUCAAGUUUCCAAUCCUUUUCCAAUAACCAAACUCUAUUUAUAUUAAUAACUUCCAUGGUUCUUUACAUAUUAUUUCCAAAGUUUCCUGGAUACACAACCUAUAAACAACUUAGUUCCUCAAGCAUCUGGAGUUUUUCCCCUAUUUCCCAGCACCUUUAGUGAAUCUUCCAUCUCUUGCUAAGUUACAACAUACAGUCUUCCUUGUUGCUGAGAUUGAUCUACCACUCCCUUCUAUUUUGCUCCACCUGAUCCUCCUCCAUUAGAACCUCUAGGCCUUGAUACUUGAUUAACAAUUUGUGAAGUGGUUCCUUGUAUUUCUUCAUCCACUUGCAUUAUCAAGAAAAUCUCCAUGAACAUUCAGUCCUCACCGAGACUACCUCUUAUUAGUUUUAUACUUGGACUUUUUAGGAGAAAACUUCUUAAUUUUUCACGAUUAUUUGAGCACAUGAUACAGUGUGGAAAGACACUAAGGGAGAGGUUCGAAGACGCUUGGCCGAGAGGGAGAGAAGGGCUAUGUAAUUACAGUCUUUGUUGGCUGUUGUUCCGGCACUUUCUUUUCUUUGUCAAAUUCCGUCUUACCAUAAAAUGUUGUAAGCGCCGAGGAUUUUCUAAAGUCCAGCUAAUUUUGUUUUGGUUUUGGUCUUUGUUUUCACAGGUGCACACUCGAUUAAAGGAGUAUUGCAAGUUUUCGUUGGAAAGCUGGAAACAGUAUAUGAGUGAUGGUACACCACCUGAGUUUGAUACUGACCUUGAGAUCAGAUGAAGGGUUAGAACAAACUGGGGAAGAAGGCAGAGAAACCGAAAUAUGGUUGAUCCUGACGCACAAAAUGCAGCCAACAAUGCAGACACAUAACUUAAUCCUGCAUUGCUAGUGCAUGAACACAAUAUACCUAUAAGAGAAUGAUUCAGGCUGCUGUUCGGUUUGGAGGUGCCAUCGGAGAAGAUCCACGUGCACACUUGAAGAGCUUCAUGCAGAUUUGCAACACAUUUGUGAUUCCAGGAAUUACAGCUGAAGGGAUCUGAUUGUCACUUUUCCUUUAAAGAUGAAUCUGGAAAAUGGGCCUAUUCACUUGAAUCAGGUGAAAUCACCAAUUGGGAAUGGAUGGUAGAAAAGUUUAUUCAUAAAUAUUUCCUUCCUACAGUGAACGCACGAUGCUAACGUGACAUUGCAACCUUUGAACAGAAAGAAACAAAAACAUUGAGUGAAGCGCGGGUCUGAUUCAAGAGACUUGUUAGAAAUUGCUCACACAAUGAUAUACAUGAUUGCGUCUAAAUGAUGAUCUUUUAUGGUGAAUUAAAUCAGCCAUCGCAAUGUGGUAGAUGCCUUAAAGGAUUAUUGGGCAAAACGUAUACUGAAGCAAAGGCUAUUUGGGAUUGAAUCUCAAGAUACCAUGAUGAAUGGGUCAAAGACAGUUACGAAACAAGCUUUAUAGAUAGACAAAAAACAAACAUUGGACUAAUUGAGAUUGAUAUCGCCACUCAUCUAUCAGCACAAAUGGGAGCAGUGAAUAGUUUGCUAAAAACCAUGGCGUUUAACAAUGAAAACUGGCACGGAAUGUCAACCAGAUUAAUGCGUUGAGCUAAGUUGUAGCAGCUGGUUGUGUGGAAUAUGGCGAACAAUAUUCUUAUGAAAUGUGCCCACAAAAUUCCCGUGUCUGCUUUGUACAUAACAACCCAUAUGGAAACACUUAUAACCCAGAUGGAGAAAUCAUCUGAAUUUUUCUUGGGGAGGUAAUCAACAAUGGCAACCAAAUAAAAUGGGAGGACAUCAGCAGACGAAAAGAGGCACUUCACCAGGAUUUCACCAAGGAAACCAAGGAAAUCAGCAGAUACAGAAUCGAUCACAACAAGCGUCCAGUUAGUAUUGAAAGUCCCUAUUAUGAUGCAUUGUGAAAUGAACCUAAAAUGUGCAUUAUUUGCCUCUUAAUUAGACCCAUUUUUAUUGGA